AUUGAACGCUGGCCGCAGGCCUAACACAUGCAAGUCGAACGAGUGGCGGACGGGUGAGUAAUGUCUGGGAAACUGCCUGAUGGAGGGGGAUAACUACUGGAAACGGUAGCUAAUACCGCAUACCAUCGGAUGUGCCCAUAUGGGAUUAGCUAGUAGGUGGGGUAAAGGCUCACCUAGGCGACGAUCGCUAGCUGGUCUGAGAGGAUGACCAGCCACACUGGAACGUAGACACGGUCAAGACUCCUACGAGAGGCAGCAGUGGGGAAUAUUGCACAAGGGGGGCAAGCCUGAUGCAGCCAUGCCGCGUGUAUGAAGAAGGCCUUCGGGUUGUAAAGUACUUUCAGCGGGGAGGCGUUACCCGCAGAAGAAGCACCGGCUAACUCCGUGCCAGAAGCCGGGGUAAUUC
rnacentral:rRNA from 1 species